UCAGAGGGCUGUUGGAGGAGUAGAUGAGGUGCUACAUGCAGGGCCCUGAGAACUGUCCUGUCGCUCAGGAAGCAAGUUUUGCAGGGUGUGGACAAUCGGGCAAGUGACUGCAUGUGACAACAGAGAGAGGGCAUGGUACACGGUGGCAGAUGAGCCCGGGACUGGAGGCAGAUCUGGGUUCCAGUUCGGGCUCUACCAGCAGCACCCAUGUGUCCUUCUGUUCUCUGGGCCUCAAUUUCCUGUUGUAAAAUUCAGAACUUGGAAGAGGUAAGUGGUUAGGUCAUUCCUGAGACAUCCCAGAUAAUCACAGCCAUCCAAACGUUGGCUCGGGAGCCCUGAGUAACCAAGACUGCAGGAAGCAACAGUUUAGUAAGGGUUCAGAAUCCUGUGAUUAGGGCUCGAGAAUGAAAUACUCUUCUAAGAGCUUCUCCCAGACCAAAAGGAGCUAAUUAGGAAAGAAUGGUGGCAUUCUCUGGGCAAACUGGAGGAGCCCCUGGGCUUGGCCUCCUUAUGCCUUCCUCCUUGACCCUCCUCUAGCCCCCUUGGACACAACACAACGUCCCCCCUCUGCUUUUUCCCCAGAUACUAUGGUAAACCUGCUCUCAGAUCUUUCUCCACACCUAGAAAAAUUCAUUCAUCGACUAUACACUUUAAUGAAUAUGCACUUACUAUGUACCAGAUAUUCUUUGGCUGCUAGGGCAGAGCAGCAGGGACAUAGCCCCUGUCCCCGUGGGGUCAACAUGCUGGUGGAGGGAGUCAGAGGUAAUAAAAUAAGCAAGUAAGACACACAGUAGAGCAGGCAGAGUUGGCGGAGAACUGGAUCUAACUGGGUUGGGGUUUUGCCAAGCAAGUACAGUCCAACUUGGAGUGUGGAGGGAAGGGUAUAGAAAAGGUAGGGACUAGAAUAACUAACCCUGGAAUUUAGGCUGGGAAAGGAGGGAGUAGGGAUUUGAAAGCGGGUGAGGUCAGUAGUCUGUGGGGCCCUGAGGGGCGAUGGCUCCAAGGCACGAGCCGGAAAGAGGUUUGACAGUGGCUUCUCUGGAGGGCUCAAGCUUGACCAGGAAACUGAGUGCCGAGCCCUGGAAGAUCACUGGGGAGAGGAGGUCAAAGAACUGGGAGGCCAGGGCACCAUCGGCGGGCUGGUAAGUGGAUGGUGAAACCACCAGGCAGGGGGCAGGAGGAGCUGGAGAGAGGACGCGAGAUGGGAGCUAAAAUCCUAAAAUCCGCAGGGAGUGCGGAAAGCAGUGACAGCAGUGAGCGCGGGGAGGCUGGUCCUGAGUCUGGGAUGGGGCGAUGGCGUUCAAGAAGACAUAUUUAAGAGUACUAUGUAAUUUUACGUGUGGGAAGAACCUUUUGUUUUUGUAAUUAGAACUACAGAAAGGGACAGAGCUGUUUAUGUCAUGAAAAGCAGGCCUGAGCAUUAGAAGACUGAGAAACACCUGGGAGGAUCUUGUUUCAACAGAGCUCAAAGCCGUGGCAAAAGGACGGAGCUCGAAUUGUGCAAUUGAGGAGUUAAGGACACGGGAUCUGGCCGGGCACCAUGGCUCACACCUGUAAUUCCAGCACUUUGGGAGGCCAAGGUGGGCGGAUCACUUGAGUUCAAGAGUUCAAGAUCGGCCUGGGCAACAUGGCCAGGCAACAUGUAAAAAUACAAAAUUUAGCUGGGUGUGGUGGUGGGCGCACCUGUAAUCCCAACUACUUGGGAGGCUGAGAUGGGAGAAUCAUUUGAACCUGGGAGGUGGAGGGUGCAGUGAACUGUGAUUGUACCACUGCACUCCAGCCUGGGUGACAGAGUAAGACCUCGUCAAAAAAAAAAAUCCAAAAAUGUGGGAUCUGUUUAAACCCUGGCUCUGCUCCCUGCUACUCAUUACCCUCAUCUGUGCAGCAGGGGUGAUACCAGCCCUCACCCCUCUGUUUCUGAGAAGUAGAUGAGCGUGUAUGUGCACAGAGACCUGCCUGCAGUGUUGUGAGGACUCACAAAAUGUUGGCUAGAUAUCCUAAUCUUUCUCAUGUUUGUUGGCAAACAAAAACAGGCUGAGAUGGCCCUGUGCCAUUCGUAUAUCUGUGUGUGGAAUAACAGACAGUAUAAAGCUGAAAAGCAGGUCCCUCCCUGGCUAAUUGCAUUUCAGCAGCCGCUGGGAGGCAGUGUGGCGGGGGGCGGGGAGUGAAACUGUGCGGGGAGUCAGGGAGCCUGGGUUUCCUCCUCAGCCAAUGAGGCCAAGGCCAAAUCAGGAUGUCCCUGAGCCCCUGUUUGCCUACCUGUAACGUGGGGAUGACGGUUCCUGCCAGGUACCCACAAGGCUGUUGUGAGGACUGAAUGAGGAAAUGCUCCUUGAAGAUAAAUGACAAUGCCACAGAAGAGCGGAUGCAGCUCCCCUGUGCUGAGUACUCACCUACUGUGUGCUGGGCACAGGGGCAGAGCCACCCACCCCUCCCUGCAGCAGUGCCUGGAAGGCAGGACCAGCAUCCUGAUAGCCAGAGUUGAGACAGAGUUUAAGGGCCUGCCAGGCAUAACUCCCUCGCCAGGCAUAGAAAUAAAGGAACAUCUUGAGUUCUUUCAAGGGAAGUUCCAGGCACCUAGCUAGCCCUGAGAGUAAAUGAACAACAUGAUAAGCAAGAAGGAAAUAAUAGCUUUUCAAAAAAAAUAGCCAAGGAAGUUAGAGUCACAAAAUACUUGGUUCCCUAUUGAAACUUAAGAUAACAUCUUAAUAUAUGUUCCUGAGUUGUUUUUCAGAAACCCAGGCCCCCAGCAAAUGGAAAAUGCCAUCCACUGGCACAGAGACUUCAGUUGGGAGCCGAGGACUGAACUCAGACCACCAUUCUUUGUUCAACAUUUCUUCCUGAGGGGCCUGGAGGAAGUCACACCCACAGGCCAGAGCUCAACAUUCCUUUCUGCUGACCCCAGGCACCAGUCCAUGGCACUCCCUAUGCCUGCAGGAUACCACAUCAAAGCAGAGUUGGGGGAGCAUUUCAGGAGGUUCCUGUGAAAAACCUACAUGCACACACCCCCACGUGCAGCUGCAGACUGCUAUCUAUACACGAAGUUAUGCAUCGCAGAGUCGACUGCAAAAGGCUGGAGCCCACACAGCGUCUAUCAAUAGGGAACGGGUUAAAUCGACCACAAGAUUUCCAUAUGACGAUGGAACACUUUCCAGCCAAGAAAGGAGGAGGAAGUCCUCACUGCUCUGAUACGGAACAGUCACCAAGACAUAUUUUAAGUAAAAAAAAGGCAGCAUGCAUAACCAGGGAAAUGAAAACUAAAACCACAGUGAGUUACAAUUUCACACAGAUCCAUCUACAAAAAAAAAAAAGCUGAUAAUUGCAGGUGUUGGUGAAGAAGUGGAGUGAGGGGAAUGCUCAAACUACUAGUGGGUGUGCGAAUGGUUAUAACCACUUUUUAAAAUUUUGGCAUUAUCUACUGAAGUUGACAAUGUACUUUCCCAAUGGCCUUGCAAAUGCCCUGGAGAAGUUCUUACCCAACCCCCGCCAUUCCCCCCAACACACACCAAAAGAAACAAUUAAGAACAUUUGCACCAGCUCUGUUCCUAGAACCCCAAAACUGAGGCCAGCACUGAGGCCAAGCACAGUGGCUCAUGCCUGUAAUCCCAGCAGGCAUGAGCCACCCUUUGGGAGCCUGAGGCCGGAGGAUUAUUGAGGUUGAGAGUUCAAGACCAGCCUGGGCAACAUAGUGAGACCUUGUCUCUAUAAAAGAAGUUUUAAAAAUUAGCCAGGUGUGAUGGCUCAUGCUUGUAGUCCCAGCUAAUUGGGAGGCUGAGGUAGGAGGAUCGUUUCUUGAGCCCUGGAGGUUGAGGCUGCAGUGAGCCAUGAUUGCACCACUGCACUCCAGCCUGGGCAACAGAAUGAGACCCUGUCUCAAAAAAUAAAAUUAAAUUAGAAAACAAUAAUAAUUAUUAUUAAUAAAUAAAAUAGUCCAAUGAAAAUAAUCAUACUAUCUCCAUGCAAUGGAAUUCUAUACAAGAGUGAAAAUGAACUAACUCCGGACAUGCGUAUCAGUACACUGAACUUCAGAACUAUAAUUAUGGGUGGGACAAAAGCCAGCCAUAGAAAACUAUUCUAUUCAUAAUCCCAAAAAGGUAGUAUACCAUAUUCAAUUAUUAUAUAUAUUUAUGUCUUGUUAUAUAUAAUGUUUAUUACAUUUAUCUUAGUAUAAAAAUAUAGUAUAUUUAUCAUAAUCUAUUAUAAACAAGUAGUAGGAUUAUAAAAAGACAAAAAGGGCAGGAUAAGCGUAAAAUUCAUGAUAGUAUUUAGGGGAAGAGGAGGGUGGGGCUGGAGAGAGGCACAUGGUUUCAAAAGCCCAGCUUCUUUGUCUAAAACAGGGCGUGGGUACCCAUACUGGUCUAUUGUAUUGUGGGUGUCUUUAAAAUGUAUAUAUAUUCUAUAACUACUAUUUUUGUAUCUACUCAAUAUUUAAUUUUAAAAUUUUAAAUGAGGCCUAGAACACUAUAAAAAGUAUGCUACCAUUUGUAUAGAAAAAGUGGACACACACAUCACUCAUGUGCAUAGAUUAAAGUGUCUCUGGAAACUUACACAUGCAACUGGUGAAACUGGUUUCCUCUGGGGAGGAGAACUGGGAGGCUGGGGACAAGGAGGGGCAAUAAAUCAAUUGAAAUUAAAAAUCACAAAAUUUAAGGAGAAGGAGACAAAGAAGGGAAGGAGGAAGAGAAGGGAGGGUGGAGGGGAGAGGCCAAGUCCUGGUCCCAGGAGGGACAGGGAGCAGAAAGAGGAGGACUGGCCAGGCUCUGGCUAUCAAAACCUGUGUGUGCCACAGGCACGAGUGGAGCCAGAAGCCUGCAGUCCUGCCCAGGAAAGCCUGUGUCCUCCGCGCACAACUCAGGCUUAGACCCAGAGAAUGCUCUUUCUUGCACCUGAGGACGGGGCUGGCUUCAAACAGUUGCCCAGGUUGACCCUGGCUCUGCAGUCUUUUGUUUCCAGAGCUUUGCUUCCAAACGAGGCUCCCUUGGGUCUCUUUCCCUGGCCCUGCCUUCUUAUCUCCAACCUUCACCCCACCUGUGAUCCAAGCGAUUCCUUUGAAGUUGCUUCAGAGUCUUCUGAGCCUUCAUCCUUGAUGACUCUGAAAUGUGCGUCUGUGGCACCAAGGUCAGCCAACAGCAAGUAGGCCCUUUUCAUCUCCUUUUAAACCUUCCCCUCAAGGACUCAGUGUCCUUGCUGUAUUGCCUUAUCAAAACCUGCUCACAUAUCCUUUGUUCACACUGGGAUACCGGUCAUUUAAAGGAAAACAGGCCCACUCUAACCAGGGUCACUGCCAAGUCCCUAAGUAUCAUGCCCUUGAGAGGUAAAAGCAUAAAGCACUAAGGGUAGAAUUUUGGGCAACAGCCAGUGGACAAGGACAAAAUGGGUGCAAUAUGCAGGGGUCCCUUCUGCCCCACCGGUAACCAUAACACCUCAGGACACAGGCUGGGGUCUGUAUUCAAAAGUGGGUCCCUCAGACCGGGCACAGUGGCUCACGCCUAUAAUCCCAGCACUUUGGGAAGCCAAGGCCAGCGGAUCCCUUGAGCCCAGGAGUUUGUGACCAGCCUGAGCAACAUGGCGAAACCCCAUCUCUACAAAAAAUACCAAAAUUAGUCUAGUCGGGCAUGGUGGUGCACACACCUAUGGUCCCAGCUAUUUGGGAGGCUGAGGGGGGAGAAUCGCUUGAGCCCCAGGAGGCAGAGAUUGCAGUGAGCUGUGAUCGAGCCACUGCACUCCAGCCUGGGCAACAGAGUGAGACCCUAUCUCAAGAAAACAAAAACAGAAAGUAAAAAAGCAAUCCUCGAGCAAAAGUGGGUCCCUCAGAGCCCAAUGACAGUGAUGAGGAGGAUGAGGUGGGAAAGGUAGUGUUACUCUGAACUAAAAAGGACUGCCCAGUGUGACCCUAUCUCCCAAACAGCCCAUGCAGGGAUCUGGGUGGCACCAUAGUACAGAAGUGGGUGCCAAGAGAGGCCUGGGCUGCACAGCCAGGUGCAUACAUGCCCUGGAGUCCAGGACAGGAUCAGCAGCAAAUCCACUCCAGGGAGCUCUCCCCCCUCACCAUCCUCUCAAUCAGGGUUCCCCAGUUGAAAAGCACCUUGGCAGUUCAUAAUUCUCCCUCUAAAGCCAGAAAGUGCUGUAAAGGAUAACAGAAGCCUGGCUGCACAGUGGAGCUUAAUGGAAGUCAUUCAACAAGCAGGUCUGGAGCAAACAUCAUGGACCAGCAGUACUGUGUGUUGGCACAGAUGUGAAGCAACUAUACUCUGAUACGGCUUGGAUAUGUGUCCCCACCCAAAUCUCAUAUUGAAUUUUAAUUCCCAGUGUUAGAGGAGGGGCCGGGUGGGAGGUGACUGGAUCAUGGGGGCAGAUUUCCCCCUUACUGUUCUCACGAUAGUGAGUUCUCAGAUCUGGUUAUUUUAAAGUGUGUAGCACCUCCCACUUUGCUCCCUUCCUCCUGCUUUGGCCAUGUAAGAUGUGCCUGCUUCGCCUUCCCCUUCCGCCAUGAUUCUAUGUUUCCUGAGGCCUCCCCAGCCAUGCUUCCUAUACAGUCUGCAGAACCGUGAG
rnacentral:lncRNA from 1 species